UACGUAGGGUGCAAGCGUUAAUCGGAAUUACUGGGCGUAAAGCGUGCGCAGGCGGUUAUGUAAGACAGAUGUGAAAUGCCCGGGCUUAACCUGGGGAACUGCAUUUGUGACUGCAUGGCUAGAAUCUGGCAGAGGGGGGUAGAAUUCCACGUGUAGCAGUGAAAUGCGUAGAUAUGUGGAGGAACACCGAUGGCGAAGGCAGCCCCCUGGGUCAAGAUUGACGCUCGAUGCACGAAAGCGUGGGGAGCAAACAGG
rnacentral:rRNA from 1 species